UUUAUUGGAGAGUUUGAUCCUGGCUCAGGAUGAACGCUGGCGGCGUGCCUAAUACAUGCAAGUCGAGCGAAUGGAUUAAGAGCUUGCUCUUAUGAAGUUAGCGGCGGACGGGUGAGUAACACGUGGGUAACCUGCCCAUAAGACUGGGAUAACUCCGGGAAACCGGGGCUAAUACCGGAUAACAUUUUGAACCGCAUGGUUCGAAAUUGAAAGGCGGCUUCGGCUGUCACUUAUGGAUGGACCCGCGUCGCAUUAGCUAGUUGGUGA
rnacentral:rRNA from 1 species